AAUUUGGCCUUUUUAAAGGCCCCCAUAAUAUACAAAUUAUUCUUU
rfam:Picea glauca, whole genome shotgun sequence.